CGGCGGACGGGUGAGUAACACGUGGGUAACCUGCCUGUAAGACUGGGAUAACUCCGGGAAACCGGAGCUAAUACCGGAUAGUUCCUUGAACCGCAUGGUUCAAGGAUGAAAGACGGUUUCGGCUGUCACUUACAGAUGGACCCGCGGCGCAUUAGCUAGUUGGUGAGGUAACGGCUCACCAAGGCGACGAUGCGUAGCCGACCUGAGAGGGUGAUCGGCCACACUGGGACUGAGACACGGCCCAGACUCCUACGGGAGGCAGCAGUAGGGAAUCUUCCGCAAUGGACGAAAGUCUGACGGAGCAACGCCGCGUGAGUGAUGAAGGUUUUCGGAUCGUAAAGCUCUGUUGUUAGGGAAGAACAAGUGCAAGAGUAACUGCUUGCACCUUGACGGUACCUAACCAGAAAGCCACGGCUAACUACGUGCCAGCAGCCGCGGUAAUACGUAGGUGGCAAGCGUUGUCCGGAAUUAUUGGGCGUAAAGGGCUCGCAGGCGGUUUCUUAAGUCUGAUGUGAAAGCCCCCGGCUCAACCGGGGAGGGUCAUUGGAAACUGGGAAACUUGAGUGCAGAAGA
rnacentral:rRNA from 1 species